UCGAUUUUUUUCAUUUCUCAUUUUCUUUCUCUUUUCUGCUCCUGCCUCUCUUCUCUUCAAUCCCUAAAAAGAUAUCAGAGAAACCCUAGUGAAACCAUUAGCUGAGAAAAGCUUAGAUUCAUAUUAGGAGUGAACUGGAAUCACGAUUCUAGAUCUGUAUUAAGGUUUCAAAAUAAGUUCAUCAGAAAGAGAAAAGACAAACCCUGGAACCCAGUAAACCAAAUCUGUAAUCGGAUUGUUUAGGUUUGUAAUCGGAUUCAUCCAGUGAAGUAAAUAGGUUUUUGAUGAGAUUGAUGUUGAUAUUAUUACUUCUAAGUGUUGCUGGUGGUGGUGUUGGUAUAUGAGGCUUUGUGUUCUCUGGUGGAGUUGCAACAGCUUCAGGUGGAGGUGGUUCUAUAGGGGGUUGAGUAGACUUUAAAGCAGAGGUAUAAAAAAUGAAUGAUUAAGAUGAUGAAGAAGAUGAGAGUGGCAGGGAGGUUUAUUCUUUGAAACCUUUAAGAGUAAUAUUUCAUUAUUUCUUUGAAGUCGUUUAAAAUUAUUAACAUUUUUUCUAAUUUAGGUCGUUUGAUUUUGCAGGAAGAUGAUAGGUAUAAGGAAAAGCAGCUCUAGUCCCCUUUUCAUUUUGGUUCUCUAGAUGUUUCUCUUAGUAAUUGUGCUGCUUAAUUCUCAGUUUUCAAAUCAAUAUAUAUUAUGUUUUAUGUGAUGAAGAAUAUUGGAGCAACAUGGUCUCACAAAAGAAGAGGUACAAAGAGAUACGAACGACUUAUCGGAAGAAAGUUUGAUGGUAAAGAGGUACAAAGAGAUACGAAACUCUUACCAUGUAAGAUUGUGAAAAAGGAAGGAAAGUUUUAUGUUGAGGACUUGAGGUUAAACUUAAGGAUGGGGAGACUUGAGGUUUUCAGUCCUGAGGAAAUUAGUGCUAUGAUUCUAACUAAGAUGAAGUAAACAGUUGAAGCUUUCCCAGGAAAGAAAGUUAAGGAUGCAGUCAUUAGUGUACUUGAGAUAGGCUACCAAGGAUGUUGUUGCGAUCGCUGGAUUAAAUGUAGCAAGAAUUGCGAGGACACUUUCACCACCAAGAGAGGUUGCAAGGCCUGAAUUGCUGAAGAACAGUUUUCCAGUGGGUUACCGUAUAUGGCUGGGUAAUUAUAUUUUUUUUCUCUACAGUCGGAUCUGAUGAGAUUUUAUAGAUUUCAUCUAGGGGAUACCAAUUUUGUUUUGCGCAAGUUUGAAAAAUGUGGGCUUUUAUUGAAGCAUGUUCCUGGCCCUGGUGUUGCUAAACUGGAUUAAUAUUCUCUAUCAGGACCCGAUAACUUGGACAACUUGAGGAAACUUGCAGAACAAUUCCAGAAGCAGAUGCGUGGUGGUGCAGGUGCCAUUCCAGGAACAAUCCCUGAGGAGGAUGACGAUGACGUGCCAGAGCUUGUGGCUGGAGAGACAUUCGAAGCCGCAGUCAACGAGGAAAAAGCAGCUUCCUAGAUAUAUUGUGGAAACAACUGAAGAACUUAGGAGGAAGAAGAAGAAGAAAGAAAGAAGAGAAGGCUUGUCAUUGUUUUCUCAGUUCCAUCUAAAUUAGUGUUUACCAACUCUUGCUGCAUUGAAUUGAUUAUGAUGAUUUUUGAUAGGCUGAGAUAAUUGAAGAGGUUGCCGUAAUGUCUUUCUUUCUUUCCUGCAAAGGAGCAAGAUUGUGCUUAAUAUCGUCGAGAUAGGCACCGGGGAUGAGCAGCUGGACCAAUCAGAUUCUAUGUAGGAAGUUAGUAAGUUUCUAUGUAUUGCAUUAGAAAUUUGGAACUUAAUUUCUAUCUAUUCCCUUAGAAUUUGAUACUUAACAAAAAUAUUGGUACUUAGAAGAAUUUGUGUACUUAACAAAAAAAAAUUGUACUUAGAAGAAUUUGUGUUGUUUUCCGACAUGAAUUGGUUGAAUGUAGUGUAAAUUGAUUGUUGAAUGUGAUAUGAAUUGAUUGUU